AUGCCGCCUAUAGAUCAGCAUGUACCUUGGUCACGUUCUGGCAACAAGGAGGAUGAUCAAGAAGGAUUGGGGAACACCAGCAAAAAAAGUACUGGGGAAGACGGGCGGGACGAAGGCUUGGAGAUCGUUGUUUGGCGCAGUGUUGAUUGCUGGCUGGCCGACUGCGGUGUGCUACCAGCGAUGAGAUCCAGGAGGAGGUGGCGGCGGACAGGGAGACUAGGUAGGGAUGAACUGCCGAUUAAGAUGCAGAGCUGCUGUUUUUAUCAUGUUGUUCUUAUCCUGCUCACUAUGAUAUUUGUGGAAAAUAUUUGCACUAUGGUUUGGUUAAGAUACAGAGCUACUAUUUUUAUUCUGCAUUACCUCGUGGGUCUCAUUAUAUGGAUUAAGUACAAGGCAUCUGUGGUUCAAAAGUUUUUAGUAACUUGUGUUUAUCUUUACUGUCUGGUGUCGAAUUGA
rnacentral:rRNA from 1 species